ACGAACGCUGGCGGCGUGCUUAACACAUGCAAGUCGAGCGGUAAGGCCUUUCGGGGUACACGAGCGGCGAACGGGUGAGUAACACGUGGGUGAUCUGCCCUGCACUUCGGGAUAAGCCUGGGAAACUGGGUCUAAUACCGGAUAUGACCUCCUAUCGCAUGGUGGGUGGUGGAAAGAUUUAUCGGUGCAGGAUGGGCCCGCGGCCUAUCAGCUUGUUGGUGGGGUAAUGGCCUACCAAGGCGACGACGGGUAGCCG
rnacentral:rRNA from 2 species